CUACAGUAGCCAGGACAAGCUUAAAAUCACACCAACUUAAAUGUUCAAGGCUAAUUCCAGAUGUGCUGACCCCUGUGACUUCCCUGAAUGUGGGAAACUCAACUGCACAAUUUGUGGUAGUGGGGGACUGCGUUCACACUCUCCCCUG
rnacentral:snRNA from 1 species